AAAUUCCUGACUGAACACUGCAAUCCUCUUUUGUAAAUGUGUAAUUCUUCUCAAGCAUCUGAUCCUUCUCUGAUUUGUACUUGGUAGGAUCUCUCGACAGGAGGUUUUUCUUAAUUUGGGGUGUGGAUGAAGAAUAUAACUUAUAUAGUGGUCACUAUGCCAACAUCUUUUGUGGUGAAAGCCAAUAAAAGAUAAAGCACCUCUAAAAUGACUGAAACCACGGGAGUGAUGCGAAUGUUCAUUGAUUCUCACUUUCACUAUAAAUGGAGAGUUAAUAUGGAUUUGUUAAAGGAGAGAAAAAAAAAGGGAAAAAUGCUUCCAUCCCCCAAAAGCCAAGUGAACAUGCUUCCCAUCCUCAGGACUUGGUCAAUGGGCGUUUUACCCCUAAAAAUAAAGAAUCUGUUCUCUGAGCCCCCAAAACACAAAACCCAAUACAUUAAAAC